CUCGCCUUUCUUUAAAAAUGUGCUGGACUUAACAUUUGCUGGACGUUUGCUAGUCCCCCAUGAUUUAAGGUAUAUUGCUAAGGCACUGUUUUCUCCCACCAAAUGCGACCUCUGGGAGAUUCAUUGGAAAAAACUGUUGAAACCACUCCUGCGCAAGUAUGAUCUCGCAGAGGUGGUGGGAGAGGGGGACGAGGCAAUGGAGAAGGGGAGUUCAGCAGUCCAGAGGACCAAAUUCUACUAGCACAGGAGCUGCUUCAGGACAUAGCAACAGCGGGAAAGGAGGCACUCCUGAAGAUACCGGAUGACCAUAUCCUAGGAACCCAUUUUAUCAAGAUCACCAGUUUCAUCUACAGCGACAAGGGUACCAGCCAGCGGGAAACUGGCGGCGAAGCACGAGGACGGGCCGUGCGACGACACCAAGUGGCCCUUCUCAGCAUCCCAGCCUCCCGACCAUCAGGAAGGACAAGUGGCCGCACGGCCAAGUCCAGCAGUUCAGCACAGCCACGAGGACGGACUCUGCCUCUUCCGCCGGACAGGUACCCUAAAUCAGGGCAAUUGUCGGGUCCUCCGCAGCAGCGUCACCAUCUCUCUCCAGGAUGAGGACCUGACGAGAGUUCCUGCUGGGUUCCUGGGCCCCCUCCACGACUGUCGGGACACCACCGUGCUCAUCUUAGAGGACUCCUUCAACACGCCAAAUGAAAUCACCAUCUUACGUGAGGGAAAGUCGGUGCAGAUGCGGCUCAUGGCAGACACAGGAGCUGACGUGACCAUCAUCCCCCAG